rnacentral:rRNA from 1 species
UACGGGGGAGCAAGCGUUGUUCGGAUUUACUGGGCGUAAAGGGCGCGUAGGCGGCCACCGCAAGUCGGUUGUGAAAUCUCUGGGCUUAACCCAGAAAGGUCAACCGAUACUGCGGGGCUAGAGUGCAGGAAGGGGCAACUGGAAUUCUCGGUGUAGCGGUGAAAUGCGUAGAUAUCGAGAGGAACACCUGCGGCGAAGGCGGGUUGCUGGGCUGACACUGACGCUGAAGCGCGAAAGCUAGGGGAGCGAAUGGG